rnacentral:rRNA from 1 species
GCAGAGGAAGGAUUUGGAGGACAAUGACGCCCUUCGGGGUCUCUGUGAAGGUGCUGCAUGGUUGUCGUCAGCUCGUGCCGUGAGGUGUCGGCUUAAGUGCCAUAACGAGCGCAACCCCUCUCCUUAGUUGCCAUCAGGUAAAGCUGGGCACUCUGGGGACACUGCCACCGUAAGGUGUGA